GACGAACGCUGGCGGCGUGCCUAAUACAUGCAAGUGGAACGCAUUUUGAUCACCGUAGCUUGCUACACCGAUUAAAAUGAGUCGCGAACGGGUGAGUAACGCGUAGGUAACCUACCUCAUAGCGGGGGACAACUAUUGGAAACGAUAGCUAAUACCGCAUAAGACAUUUUAUCGCAUGAUAGGAUGUUAAAAGAUGCAACUGCAUCACUAUGAGAUGGACCUGCGUUGUAUUAGCUAGUUGGUGAGGUAACGGCUCACCAAGGCUGCGAUACAUAGCCGACCUGAGAGGGUGAUCGGCCACACUGGGACUGAGACACGGCCCAGACUCCUACGGGAGGCAGCAGUAGGGAAUCUUCGGCAAUGGGGGCAACCCUGACCGAGCAACGCCGCGUGAGUGAAGAAGGUUUUCGGAUCGUAAAGCUCUGUUGUAAGCGAAGAACAGUGAUAGGAGUGGAAAAUCUAUCACAUGACGGUAGCUUACCAGAAAGGGACGGCUAACUACGUGCCAGCAGCCGCGGUAAUACGUAGGUCUCGAGCGUUGUCCGGAUUUAUUGGGCGUAAAGCGAGCGCAGGCGGUUAGAUAAGUCAGAAGUUAAAGGCUGUGGCUCAACCAUAGUACGCUUUUGAAACUGUUUAACUUGAGUGCAGAAGGGGAGAGUGGAAUUCCAUGUGUAGCGGUGAAAUGCGUAGAUAUAUGGAAGAACACCGGUGGCGAAAGCGGCUCUCUGGUCUGUCACUGACGCUGAGGCUCGAAAGCGUGGGUAGCGAACAGGAUUAGAUACCCUGGUAGUCCACGCCGUAAACGAUGAGUGCUAGGUGUUAGGCCCUUUCCGGGGCUUAGUGCCGCAGCUAACGCAUUAAGCACUCCGCCUGGGGAGUACGACCGCAAGGGUUGAAACUCAAAGGAAUUGACGGGGGCCCGCACAAGCGGUGGAGCAUGUGGUUUAAUUCGAAGCAACGCGAAGAACCUUACCAGGUCUUGACAUCCCUCUGACCGGUCUAGAGAUAGACUUUCCCUUCGGGGCAGAGGUGACAGGUGGUGCAUGGUUGUCGUCAGCUCGUGUCGUGAGAUGUUGGGUUAAGUCCCGCAACGAGCGCAACCCUUAUUGUUAGUUGCCAUCAUUUAGUUGGGCACUCUAGCGAGACUGCCGGUAAUAAACCGGAGGAAGGUGGGGAUGACGUCAAAUCAUCAUGCCCCUUAUGACCUGGGCUACACACGUGCUACAAUGGUUGGUACAACGAGUCGCAAGCCGGUGACGGCAAGCUAAUCUCUUAAAGCCAAUCUCAGUUCGGAUUGUAGGCUGCAACUCGCCUACAUGAAGUCGGAAUCGCUAGUAAUCGCGGAUCAGCACGCCGCGGUGAAUACGUUCCCGGGCCU
rnacentral:rRNA from 1 species